UUGGAUCAUUUUUGUGGCCCUCCUCAGGAUGCACUCCAAUGGGUCUAUGUCUCUCCUGUACUGAAGACUCCACAUUUGGACACAGUACUCCAGUCCCGAAUGUCUUGAUUUACAUUUUCAGCUGGAAAGGAGGUGCAGAGGCCAGAAGGGAGAAGAGGGCGGGAGCUGCACUGGCUGCAACUGGGAGUUUACAGUGAGCGGAGAGUAAUGAGUGGAGUAGAUAAGAGAAGACCCACUAUACUGUUCCAGGAGUCCAGCCUGUGUCACUCGUGACUGUGUGGAUUUGCUAAGGACACCUCUUUCCCAUUACUUAUGCUCAGGGAACGUGGAAGUGAAAAUAGCAUAGUGGUUUUAAAAAUAUAAAAAUAUUAAUCUAAACAAAAGUUUUAUCAGGUGUGUGAAAGCAAACGAGCUUUACUAAAGAGGCUGCUGGAGUGACCAGUCCUGUAACUGUUGAGGGAGUGAGCACAGUGAUGGGAGACAGCUGAGCACAGCGAGUGAUGUGAUAGCAUACCACCACAAAAACUGAAAGUUGCAGUAUUUCAUUCACUUCAAGUUUUAAAAGCUGUUGAUAUUUAGAAUCACUACUGAUUUAUGGCUGGAGAAGUGAUCCUUAUUCUUCCUCUUACAUUAAAACAUACAUAUAUUCUAUUUAAAUCUCUCUUACUCACUCUCUAGAUGCACAUAUAUACUUACAUAUUUUUAAAUUAAGAAAUGAUUUCUGCCGCAAGUUCCCUCGUUUUAAACUUUUCUGUUGCCAAGAAAGGAGUUAUCUGAAAACACCUCCCUGUUACUGAGUGAGCAAACAAUAGAAUAUGGUCCUGAGUCUGGAAGACUGCUCUGGCAAGUGGAGAAAAGAGUCUGAAUAUGGAUCAGAAGGAAAAGGUUAAAAAAAAGGAGGGGGAAAUGUAGUUCAAAGUAUUAAAAUGGAUUUUACAUUUGAUUUACAUGGCAGUCAUGGUUCAUUUCAAGUUAUGUUGUUGUAUGGUCUUAGGAAUUUAUUUGUCUGACCAUCAUGUCUGCAGCCAGGUUUAUGAGAGCAGCUGUAACACUGAAUGGACUGUAAAUAUAAAUUGUUUUACUG
rnacentral:lncRNA from 7 species